rnacentral:rRNA from 1 species
CAGCCCAAUGUGGAAUUCGCCCUUAGAGUUUGAUCAUGGCUCAGGAUGAACGCUAGCGGCAGGCUUAAUACAUGCAAGUCGAACGGUAAUCCCGCACAUGCGGGAACGAGUGGCGCACGGGUGCGUAACACGUAUGCAACUUACCCUUUACUGGGGCAUAACCUGUUGAAAGACGGGCUAAUUCCCCAUGGUAUUAUGAUGAGGCAUCUUAUUAUAAUUAAAGAUUUAUCGGUAAAGGAUGGGCAUGCGCCCCAUUAGUUAGUUGGUGAGGUAACGGCUCACCAAGACUGUGAUGGGUAGGGGUUCUGAGAGGAUUCACCCCCACACUGGUACUGAGACACGGACCANACUCCUACGGGAGGCAGCAGUAAGGAAUAUUGGGCAAUGGGCGCGAGCCUGACCCAGCCAUGCCGCGUGCAGGAAGACGGCCUUAUGGGUUGUAAACUGCUUUUAUAAGGGAAUAACCUCCCGUACGUGUACGGGACUGCAAGUACCUUAUGAAUAAGCAUCGGCUAACUCCGUGCCAGCAGCCGCGGUAAUACGGAGGAUGCAAGCGUUAUCCGGAAUUAUUGGGUUUAAAGGGUGCGUAGGCGGGCUUGUAAGUCAGUGGUGAAAUAUCCGGGCUCAACCUGGAGGCUGCCAUUGAUACUGCUGGUCUUGAGUUUAGUUGAUGUUGGCGGAAUGUGUCAUGUANCGGUGAAAUGCAUANAUAUGACACAUAACACCGAUAGCGAANGCAGCUGACAAAACUAAAACUGACGCUGAUGCACGAAAGCGUGGGGAUCAAACAGGAUUAGAUACNCUGGUAAGUCCACGCCGUAAACGAUGAUCACUAGCUGUUUGCGAAUACACAGUAAGUGGCUAAGGGGAAACCGAUAAGUGAUCCACCUGGGGAGUACNUCCNNAAGGAUGAAACUCAAAGGAAUUUGACGGGGGNNCCCCACAANCGGAAGAANCAUGUGGUUUAAUUUCNAUGAAACNCNAGGNAACNUUACCUGGGGCUUGAACCUAAUGGUGCAAUNUUNGGUGAAAAACCCAACUUUUCUNGCCAACAAAA